rnacentral:rRNA from 1 species
GUAGGGAAUCUUGCGCAAUGGGCGAAAGCCUGACGCAGCCAUGCCGCGUGAAUGAUGAAGGUCUUAGGAUUGUAAAAUUCUUUCACCGGGGACGAUAAUGACGGUACCCGGAGAAGAAGCUCCGGCUAACUUCGUGCCAGCAGCCGCGGUAAUACGAAGGGGGCUAGCGUUGCUCGGAAUUACUGGGCGUAAAGGGCGCGUAGGCGGAUAUUUAAGUCGGGGGUGAAAGCCCGGGGCUCAACCUCGGAAUAGCCUUCGAUACUGGAUAUCUUGAGUACGGGAGAGGUGUGUGGAACUCCGAGUGUAGAGGUGAAAUUCGUAGAUAUUCGGAAGAACACCAGUGGCGAAGGCGACACACUGGCCCGUUACUGACGCUGAGGCGCGAAAGCGUGGGGAGCAAACAGGAUUAGAAACCCCAGUAGUCC